AAAAAAAAAAAUUAAAAACAAAAAAUAUAAAUAAAAUAAUAAUAACAACUAAAAAGCACUUUUUCUCAUGCAUAAGCUGACUAACCACUUAAAUAUAAAAUAUGUCCAAUUUUCACACUAAACGAAAAACUUAAAAAGAAAUAAAUAAAUGAACAAAAAUAACUUAAGUUUAAGUAGUAACAAAACGCAAUUUGAAAGACGUUAACUAAUCUGUAGUGACAACUGACAGAUGACACACGACACGACAGUAAACAAUAUAAAGUUUGCCAAAUGUAUACGGUGAAUCUAAAUAUUAAUGAAACAUAAUAAAACAACAAAGAAAGAUAAUCAGAAAAAACAAAAGUUAUGAUUACCCAGCAUUCAAAUUAAUAAAGGUUGAACUGUUAGUAAUGAACUGAAUGAAAUACACAAACAAGGUAAUCACUAAUUGUCAGAAGACUGCUCAUUUUUUUGAUGUUGCGAUUUUAUUUGUUGCAGCUCCGACAUCGUAGUAACUUUCUUUCGGGACUUGUCUGGGAAUAAAAUCACAAUAGCUCCAUCAGCCGUCCAGCAUUUUUUCAUGCCAAAAUAAUUGCGAGCUGCCACAAAUAUGUCUUGACGGGUCUUAGUUAAAAACUCGGUAAUUGUGACCUUAGUACCUUUUAAACUGGUUUUAGCUUUCCACGCUUUAGAGCGAAGCUGCAUGUUUGAAAAACGAACAAGUAUGGGCCGUGCAGAGUCCUUUUUAGUGCCAAGUCUGUGGCAAGAACUAAGAUGUUCUACUUUUAUGUCAGGUAUCUUCAUUUGGUUAGAUAACACUGCGAGGACUCUUUUCUGCACAUCUUCAUCCUUGUCUUCUUUUAUACCAUGAAAGAGAAGAAGUUUCUUGCGGGAUUGUGUCUCAAUUCGAUCCAUGCCUUGAGCCAACAGUUCAAUUUGGGACUUAAGCAAGGACAGAGUUUUCCAUACCAGGGUUUUGAAGGUAACCAUUGAAGACAGUUCCUCCAUAUUCUUCUGAAGAUGUUCGAUUGAGGAGUUCAUUGUGGCACUUUGUUUUCAAAUUAGUGUGAAAGAGUGUGGAGAGAGUCAACUUACACUGUAGUAACUUAACUUUUGCACAUAUAUCUAUAUAGUAAAAUAUAAUUAAAAAUAAAUAGGAGCACCAAAAAA